AUGGCUUCAGAGAUCAAGGUUGAAGUCACUCACAAGGAAACAAUUAAACCAUCCUCUCCAACUCCUUCACAUCUUCAAAUUACCAACCUCUCUGUUUUUUAUCAGCUUUCUCCUGAUGUUUAUAUACCACUACUUCUCUUCUACCCCAACAAUAGUAGUGAUGACGAUGAUGAGGUCAAUAAAAUUGAUCACCAUUCUUUGGUUGCUGAAAAAUCCAAGCUUCUAAAGGCAUCAUUAUCUGAAACCCUAACUCACUUCUACCCCUUUGCAGGUAAAUUCCAAUAUAAUGUUUCAAUUUCUUGCAAUGACCAUGGGAUGGGACUGCAUUUUCUGAAGCUCAAGUGAACUGUCCCAUAUCGAAGAUUUUGGACAAACCCGAUUUUGGGAUCCUAAGAAAAUUGCUUCCAACUGAUAUAGCAUCCACACAAGCAGACACAGGCUAUCUUCUACUAGUCCAGGCCAACUUCUUUGAAUGCGGUGGGUUGGCAAUUGGAGUCAGCAGUUCUCAUAUCAUCAGCGAUGCCUAUACACUCAGGACAUUCAUUAAAAGCUGGGCUGAUUUGCCCUAAUGGGCACCUUUACUACUGAUCAUCAUGCCGUGCUUCCCCAGAAAUUUGGUGCUGCAGCUACUCUUUUCCCACAACUAGAUUUCUUGAACUCAGCUCAACCUGCCAUGGAGUUUGCUGAAGAAAAGUGCAUAACAAAGAGAUUUGUGUUUGAUGCCUCAAAUAUUGCUGCUCUUAAGUCCAGAGCUGCCAGCGCCGCCUUGCCAAACCCAACGCGCGUUGAAGCAGUGUCGGCGCUUAUUUGGAAGUGUGCCUGGGAGGCAUCGAGGGUAUCAAACUCGGGUAUUGUGAGGCCAUCCGAGUGGUCUCUGGUGGUGAACAUAAGGAAAAUAUUGGUGCAGCAGCCAUUGGCAGAUGACUUGAUGGGAAAUCUUGUGGGGGUGUUUAUAGUAAAAACGGAGGCAAGAGAAGUAGUAGAUAUUGAUGUUCAAAGCUUGGUUACCAAAUUGAGGAAAGGGGUUGAGGAGUUUAAAGCAAAAUAUGGAAAUGGAGUUAGUGGGGUGGAAGUAUGUCAUUUCUUUAAAGAGUUUGGGAGCUUCAUGACAAGGGAUGCAGACAACUAUAACUGCAGCAGUUGGUGCAGGUUUCCUUUCUAUGAAACCAACUUCGGAUGGGAAAUCCAUUGUGGGUGUGCCAGUGUAUAGGAGUGAAGAAUCUAUUUGUUUUGAUGGAUACAAGAAAUGGGGAUGGUGUAGAAGCGUCCUUGACUUUCAAUGAAGAAGUCAUGGCCGUGUUCGAAACCAAUAAGAACUUGCUCGAGUAUGCUUCUGUGAAUCCGGCUGUCAUUUAA
rnacentral:lncRNA from 1 species